UACGAAGGGGGCUAGCGUUGCUCGGAAUUACUGGGCGUAAAGGGCGCGUAGGCGGGUUAUCAAGUUGGAGGUGAAAGCCCAGGGCUCAACCUUGGAAUUGCCUUCAAAACUGAUAGCCUAGAGUAUGAUAGAGGUAUGUGGAACUCCGAGUGUAGAGGUGAAAUUCGUAGAUAUUCGGAAGAACACCAGUGGCGAAGGCGACAUACUGGGUCAUGACUGACGCCGAGGCUCGAAAGCGUGGGGAGCAAACAGG
rnacentral:rRNA from 1 species